rnacentral:rRNA from 1 species
ACGGGUGAGUAAUGCAUCGGAACGUGCCCUGAAGUGGGGGAUAACGCAGCGAAAGCUACGCUAAUACCGCAUAUUCUGUGAGCAGGAAAGCAGGGGAUCGCAAGACCUUGCGCUUUGGGAGCGGCCGAUGUCGGAUUAGCUAGUUGGUGGGGUAAAGGCCUACCAAGGCGACGAUCCGUAGCGGGUCUGAGAGGAUGAUCCGCCACACUGGGACUGAGACACGGCCCAGACUCCUACGGGAGGCAGCAGUGGGGAAUUUUGGACAAUGGGCGGAAGCCUGAUCCAGCCAUGCCGCGUGAGUGAAGAAGGCCUUCGGGUUGUAAAGCUCUUUCGGCGGGGAAGAAAUUGCUUGGGUUAAUACCCUGAGUAGAUGACGGUACCCGAAUAAGAAGCACCGGCUAACUACGUGCCAGCAGCCGCGGUAAUACGUAGGGUGCGAGCGUUAAUCGGAAUUACUGGGCGUAAAGCGUGCGCAGGCGGUUUUGUAAGUCAGAUGUGAAAUCCCCGGGCUCAACCUGGGAACUGCAUUUGAGACUGCAAGACUGGAGUUUGGCAGAGGGGGGUGGAAUUCCACGUGUAGCAGUGAAAUGCGUAGAGAUGUGGAGGAACACCGAUGGCGAAGGCAGCCCCCUGGGCCAAUACUGACGCUCAUGCACGAAAGUGUGGGGAGCAAACAGGAUUAGAUACCCUGGUAGUCCACGCCCUANACGAUGUCAACUAGGUGUUGGGAGGGUUAAACCUUUUAGUGCCGUAGCUAACGCGUGAAGUUGACCGCCUGGGGAGUACGGCCGCAAGGCUAAAACUCAAAGGAAUUGACG